UAGCCUAGUAGUUAAGGCUAUGGAUCGCCAAUCCGGAGACGGCGGGUUCGAUUCCCGC
rnacentral:tRNA from 1 species